rnacentral:lncRNA from 1 species
ACCUGUAAUUGCCAUACUAACCUUUUUAGUAUACAUUUUAAGAUUUUAAGUAGUGUUAUUUUCAGUUUUAGGUAAUUUAAACAUUUAGACAACUUUCCUUGCUUCAUCUAAGUACAUUAGACUUGUUAGGAUAUGAAGACUACAUAUUCUUAGCCUACUUUAGGUUGAUUUCGAAUUUAGGUACUUCUUACUACACUUUGAGUAGCCAAAUUUUGAGAUUUAGCUAAUUCAUAGAAUUUGACAUCUUUCUUAGAUUCAUUUAAGUUCUUUAAACUUGUUAGGCUAAGAAUAUUACACAUUGUUAGGUUAGUUUAGGUCAAUUUCAAAAUUNUCACCUAUUUACAACACUUUCUAGGUUUAGGUCAAUGUAUCUAUUAUCGUGGUUUGCUCCAAUCCUUGGAGGCUUAAUUCUAAGAUAGUGGUGUGGGUAAUCAUGUUUUAGAGGGAUAAUUGUUUAGUAAAGAGAUAGUAGAUGAAUUAAGUAUGGAAAUUUGAUAUUUAGUAACUCGUGCAUUCUGUCAUUAUUUCAUUGAUUUACCAUAUAGUCGAGCCUUGACCAGAUGGGCCCCCAAAU